rnacentral:rRNA from 1 species
CCCUUAGAUGUUCUGGGCUGCACGCGCGCUACACUGAUGCGAUCAACAAGUUUUUCCUAUGUCGAUAGACACGGGUAAUCUUUUGAACUCGCAUCGUGAUGGGGAUAGAUUAUUGUAAUUAUUAAUCUUCAACGAGGAAUUCCUAGUAGGUGCAAAUCAUCAGUUUGCAUCGAUUACGUCCCUGCCCUUUGUACACACCGCCCGUCGCUGCUACCGAUUGGUUGAUCUGGUGAACUAUUCGGACUGCCGGCUGAAGGGGUUUCCUCAUCUGCCAGCGGAAAGUCUUGUUAACCCUAUCAACUAGAGGAAGCAGAAGUCGUAACA